GAUGAACGCUGGCGGCGUGCCUAAUACAUGCAAGUCGAGCGAACGGACGAGAAGCUUGCUUCUCUGAUGUUAGCGGCGGACGGGUGAGUAACACGUGGAUAACCUACCUAUAAGACUGGGAUAACUUCGGGAAACCGGAGCUAAUACCGGAUGAUAUUUUGAACCGCAUGGUUCAAAGGUGAAAGACGGACUUGCUGUCACUUAUAGAUGGAUCCGCGCUGCAUUAGCUAGUUGGUAAGGUAACGGCUUACCAAGGCAACGAUGCAUAGCCGACCUGAGAGGGUGAUCGGCCACACUGGAACUGAGACACGGUCCAGACUCCUACGGGAGGCAGCAGUAGGGAAUCUUCCGCAAUGGGCGAAAGCCUGACGGAGCAACGCCGCGUGAGUGAUGAAGGUCUUCGGAUCGUAAAACUCUGUUAUUAGGGAAGAACAUAUGUGUAAGUAACUGUGCACAUCUUGACGGUACCUAAUCAGAAAGCCACGGCUAACUACGUG
rnacentral:rRNA from 1 species